ACCUGGCUGGCUCAGUCAGUGGAGUGUGAGACUCUCAAUCUUAGGGUUGUGAGUUCGAGUCCCAUGGUGGGUA
rnacentral:tRNA from 1 species